rnacentral:tRNA from 1 species
NAAUACUAGUUAAAAAAAAUAACAAUGCCUUGUCAAGGCUUAAUUACCGCCGGUGUAUCUCAU